AGCGAACGCUGGCGGCAGGCCUAACACAUGCAAGUCGAACGAACUCUUCGGAGUUAGUGGCGGACGGGUGAGUAACACGUGGGAACGUGCCUUUAGGUUCGGAAUAACUCAGGGAAACUUGUGCUAAUACCGAAUGUGCCCUUCGGGGGAAAGAUUUAUCGCCUUUAGAGCGGCCCGCGUCUGAUUAGCUAGUUGGUGAGGUAAAGGCUCACCAAGGCGACGAUCAGUAGCUGGUCUGAGAGGAUGAUCAGCCACAUUGGGACUGAGACACGGCCCAAACUCCUACGGGAGGCAGCAGUGGGGAAUUUUGCGCAAUGGGCGAAAGCCUGACGCAGCCAUGCCGCGUGAGUGAUGAAGGUCUUAGGAUUGUAAAAUUCUUUCACCGGGGACGAUAAUGACGGUACCCGGAGAAGAAGCCCCGGCUAACUUCGUGCCAGCCGCCGCAGUAA
rnacentral:rRNA from 1 species